rnacentral:lncRNA from 1 species
GUUCAUCCAAGAAAGGAAGGGGAUAAGUCCUCAACAUAAAUCUAUGCCAGACAUGUCCUUCCCCAAUACAGGGGAAUGGAGAUCAAGUUACAGGUCCAUUUUACCAGCUAGGUACCAUGAAUGCAUUGCAAGGCUGCCAAAGGACAUGAUAUUGGCAAGGGAUGAUAGUCCAUGAAUCAUACCGAAUUUUUUGUUCAUGGCUGCAAGCUUUGGAUUCACCUUGGCAACCUCCUUGUUCUUUGACCGCCCAAUUUCCUCACCAAUGUUUUGCUCUCUCUCCACCUUGUGCCUCUGCUUCAUCAUCUGUCCAAAAAGGGGCCCCAAAAAAUUAUACAUCAGCAACAAAAUCAUUUUAGCACCAGCACAUAGCACUCCCAUUCUAGGUAUCAACAAAAAAAAAAAAAAGAGCACUGCAUUUCUUUGGGAAUCAUCUUCUACCCAAAAAUUACUGCCUGCAAUUAAUAUUAGAUAUUUGAUGAAUAUACUUAUCAUAUGUCAAGGUUAGUCACCGAGCAAACAUGUGAAAGAAUAGAGAAGCAAAUUCUAGUACCCAGUGCUUACGGUCCUUUUCGUCCCAAAAGAAGGAAAUUUUCAAGCCAACUAUACCAAAUACUUGUCAGGGCCCAAAAUUGGCACUUAUGCUGUGCGAAUUUCUAUGUUUUUUCCUACAUUUUUCUCAGCAACCAAACAUAGGCAAAAUAAAAACAAAAAAAAUGGAGGCAACAAUGAACACUUUAUGGGAAAAUGGUGGAAAACAACAAAAUUCAGAAACAUAUAAGUCAAACUAGUCACCUAAAUGCCCAAUAUAGCUAGAAAAUCGAUACCUCAAUUGUCAUUGGUGUAAAGACGAGCAAAUUUGUGAGAUUGAAAGCAAAGGCGGAGAGAAGAAAUCCUAGCUGGUACUUCUCGGCGGUAGAAGAAGACUUCCAUGGAUGUAGAUAACCAAACGACGCCGUUGAAACCGCACAACACACACCAACCAUCGAGAAAUAAGCAGGAAACAUCUUGCUUUGCAAAUUACCGAACGUAUGCCUCGGAAGAUUCCUGAGUCAUCAUUAUACUUCUCAAUCAUAACAAUUAAAAAAUUUAGAGGAACUAUCCAGUACCUCCCUUUGGUCGCCGAUAAAAUUUGGGAAAAAAUGACCUAGAUUUUCUCGGCAAACAAACCGAGCACAACAGGCAAAAUUGGGUCGAAAAGAAUUAUUACUUGAACAUUAUGAUGCCGCCGAUGAAGGUGACCCAGAGAGCGGCGCCCCAAGCGGUGGCGAAGCAGAGCAGGUGAGCGAGUUUGAGGGCAGCGGUUAGCUUUGACGAAUGGCUACCGUCUGAUUUGGAUCCGAAUGUCUCCGGCGAGAAAAUAACUCCGACGGCCAAGAAAGUGACGGCGCCGAGAAAC